AUACCCAAAUCACCCUUGCAGUUUAUCACAAGUAAAAAAAGAAACCCUUUCCCUGUGGAGAACGCGAUUAAGUCGUCCUCUGCUUCCCCUCUUUCAGGCCGUCAUCAACAUCCGUCGCUGGGGGCUUCUGCAAGGAAGGCUUGGUGGUUUGCCGUCCGUUGCCACCUUCCCUGUGAACCGGUCUGUUCUACUCUGUUCCGUUCGGAGGUGGUCAGUGCGUUCCCCGUCGCCGUCCGUCGCGGUGAAGCCCAUCACCGUCGUUGCGCCGUAUCGAUCGGAGUCUCGUAGCGCCUGGCCUCCCGUCCCUGCAUUGUGCGUCUGCUCCAUCUCCCUGCACUCGAACGUUUUCUCUGAAAACAGGUGCACACACAAUUGGAGUGUCUCACUACUCAACAAUCAGCAUCUGUUUGUACAACUUCACUGGGAAGUUAGAUCAAGACCUUGCACUAGACAGUGAGAGUAUGCACAAAAUCUGAAGAAGUUCAAGUGCAAGAG